UGGGGAAUAUUGCACAAUGGGGGAAACCCUGAUGCAGCGACGCCGCGUGAGCGAAGAAGGCCUUCGGGUCGUAAAGCUCUUUUAUGAGGGAAGAUAAUGACGGUACCUCAAGAAAAAGCCCCGGCUAACUACGUGCCAGCAGCCGCGGUAAUACGUAGGGGGCUAGCGUUGUCCGGAAUCACUGGGCGUAAAGGGUUCGCAGGCGGAAUAACAAGUCAGAUGUGAAAGGCAUGGGCUCAACCCAUGUAAGCAUUUGAAACUGUAAUUCUUGAGAAGUGGAGAGGUAAGUGGAAUUCCUAGUGUAGCGGUGAAAUGCGUAGAUAUUAGGAGGAAUACCUGUGGCGAAGGCGACUUACUGGACACAAAUCUGACGCUGAGGAACGAAAGCGGGGGUAGCAAACAGG
rnacentral:rRNA from 1 species